rnacentral:rRNA from 1 species
AUACGUAGGUGACAAGCGUUAUCCGGAUUUACUGGGCGUAAAGGGCGUGUAGGCGGUCUUGCAAGUCAGAAGUGAAAUUCCUGAGCUCAACUCGGGCGCUGCUUCUGAAACUGCAGGACUUGAGUGCUGGAGGGGAUAGCGGAAUUCCUCGUGGAGCGGUAAAAUGCGCAGAUAUUAGGAGGACCACCGGUGGCGAAGGCGGCUUUCUGGACAGUAACUGACGCUGAGGCGCGAAAGCGUGGGGAGCAAACAGGAUUAGAUACCCUGGUAGUCCACGCCAUAAACGAUGAAUACUAGGUGUAGGGGGUAUCGACCCCCUCUGUGCCGACGUUAACACAUUAAGUAUUCCACCUGGGGAGUACGGCCGCAAGGCUGAAACUCAAAUGAAUUGACGGGG